CAGAGAGCUUAUCAGGUGGGGAAGCCCCAGGCCAUUUUACCACAAUAAGAACCUCUUCUUCUAAAAUAGAAAAGCAGAACAAGCACAUACAGUCAUGUUUUUACCCAGUAGUAAAAGUGAUCACACGCACCACACCCAAAGAAGAGCAGGGACCUGGGCAGAGACCUCUAAAAGCACAGCCUGCAGAUCAUAACACCCAAGGAUCAGAAGACGGAUGGGACAAAACAGAAGGGUACGAUUCCUCGGAGGAAAACAAGCCACAUACCUCUGAGAAACUCACAUGUAAAAAGACUAGGAUUCACACCCCCAAAACAGGUGAUCUGAACCCUGUGAAUAAGAAACCCAGGACUGAUUGCUUGCACAAUUUACAAAAA